GAUAAACGCUGGCGGCGCACAUAAGACAUGCAAGUCGAACGGAAGUCGUUACGAAACGGAGUGAAGAUUUAUCUGAAUGAAGUUUUGUAACAAUGGCUUUAGUGGCGGACUGGUGAGUAACGCGUGGGUAACCUGCCUCAUACAGGGGGAUAACAGUUAGAAAUGACUGCUAAUACCGCAUAAGCGCACAGCAUCGCAUGAUGCAGUGUGAAAAACUCCGGUGGUAUGAGAUGGACCCGCGUCUGAUUAGCUAGUUGGUGAGGUAAAGGCCCACCAAGGCGACGAUCAGUAGCCGACCUGAGAGGGUGAUCGGCCACAUUGGGACUGAGACACGGCCCAA
rnacentral:rRNA from 1 species